rnacentral:lncRNA from 1 species
UUCUCUUCACAUCCGGAGAGACAUGGGACCGCAACCGCAAAGGGCAUGAGCGCUUGGUGACUCACAGGGCGCGCGAGGAACCUAUUUCUGGGCCGUAUAUAUAGAGCCAUGCGCACAUGUGGAGACAAAGUUCUACUACAGUAGUUGACAGACAGGAGACAAAAGACUGAAUCUAAAGGACAGACAGAGCAGUGUGGUCAGAUUUUGGAACGCAGGGUUUUUUUCAUGUGCGUGUUCUUCAUUGCACUGUCCUUGUUCAUUCCUGUUGAUUGUUGAACAACUGAAUGGCAAUGUGAGAUCGUGUCAUUGUAAUACCUUAACUAUGGGACUAAGAUACAAUAUGCUUGCCCUAUAGUCCUAGUGAAAGUUGGAUAACGCAACUAAGAAGGCUGCCAUGAAUUCAAAUGGGGAAAAAAACAUAGCUAAAUAUUUCAUUAAACUAAUAGGGAGUCUUUCAAAUGUGGGAAACAUGAAUGAACAUAGUAGACAUGUUUAGACAUAGUAGACAUGUUUUCUAAGCAUGACCAGAAUGGGAAUAAACUACAUCAUGACCAGAAUGGGAAUAAACUACAUUAUGACCAGAAUGGGAAUACACUACAGCAUGACCAGAAUGGGAAUAAACUACAUCAUGACCAGAAUGGGAACAAACUACAGCAUGACCAGAAUGGGAAUAAACUACAUUAUGACCAGAAUGGGAAUAAACUACAGCAUGACCAGAAUGGGAAUAAACUACAUCAUGACCAGAAUGGGAAUAAACUACAUCAUGACCAGAAUGGGAAUAAACUACAUUAUGACCAGAAUGGGAAUAAACUACAUCAUGACCAGAUUGCACUGUGAUGGUCCUGAUGUUUCAGAGCAGAAGUGAUAAAGACUGUCCAUCUUCAACCAAAGAUACAGCCUCUGCAUUGGCUGAAGAAUCGUAAAAGGCACCUUCAAAUCCCACCACUUCCACAACUGACUGUGCUUCCCUCUGGGCUGGUGAAAUAUUACUCUACCCUGCUGUACAUCCAGUUUCCUCUCCCAAAACAUUGACAUGUGUGUUAUGUGCUGAAGUGUGUGUGACUCACGGGAUAUAAGAGUAAAAACAAACUGGAAUGGAACGCACUCCAGCUGAGUCACUCUGUGACUCACACACUUAAAAUACACCUUCAGCAAUUAACAACUGCUUUGAACUAAGAACCUGUUCUUUCUUGUAUGGGUGGGUGUCAGAGGAGGCUGGUGGAAGGCGCUAUAGGAGGAUGGGCUCAUUGUAUUGUCUGGAAUGGAAUUAAUGGAACGGUAUCAAACACGUGUAACAAAUGAAACAUGUUUGACUCCGUUCCAUUUUAAUAUGUCUGAUGUGUGGAGUAAUUACAAUGUUGUUGAUCCAUCCUCAGUUUUCUCCUAUCACAGCCAUUCAAAUCUGUAGCUGUUUUAAAGUCAUCAUUGGCCUCAUGGUGAAAUCCCUGAGCGGUUUCCAUCCUCUCCGGCAACUGAGUUAGGAAGGACGCCUGUAUCUUUGUAGUGAC